rnacentral:rRNA from 1 species
AAAUUGAAGAGUUUGAUCAUGGCUCAGAUUGAACGCUGGCGGCAGGCUUAACACAUGCAAGUCGAGCGGUAGCACAGAGAGCUUGCUCUCGGGUGACGAGCGGCGGACGGGUGAGUAAUGUCUGGGAAACUGCCUGAUGGAGGGGGAUAACUACUGGAAACGGUAGCUAAUACCGCAUAACGUCGCAAGACCAAAGUGGGGGACCUUCGGGCCUCAUGCCAUCAGAUGUGCCCAGAUGGGAUUAGCUAGUAGGUGGGGUAACGGCUCACCUAGGCGACGAUCCCUAGCUGGUCUGAGAGGAUGACCAGCCACACUGGAACUGAGACACGGUCCAGACUCCUACGGGAGGCAGCAGUGGGGAAUUUUGGACAAUGGGCGCAAGCCUGAUCCAGCAAUGCCGCGUGAGUGAAGAAGGCCUUCGGGUUGUAAAGCUCUUUUGUCAGGGAAGAAACGGUAGAGGCUAAUAUCCUUUGCUAAUGACGGUACCUGAAGAAUAAGCACCGGCUAACUACGUGCCAGCAGCCGCGGUAAUACGUAGGGUGCAAGCGUUAAUCGGAAUUACUGGGCGUAAAGCGCACGCAGGCGGUCUGUCAAGUCGGAUGUGAAAUCCCCGGGCUUAACCUGGGAACUGCAUUCGAAACUGGCAGGCUAGAGUCUUGUAGAGGGGGGUAGAAUUCCAGGUGUAGCGGUGAAAUGCGUAGAGAUCUGGAGGAAUACC